rnacentral:rRNA from 1 species
UACGGAGGGGGGCUAGCGUUGUUCGGAAUUACUGGGCGUAAAGCGCACGUAGGCGGCUUUGCAAGUUAGAGGUGAAAGCCCGGGGCUCAACUCCGGAAUUGCCUUUAAAACUGCAUCGCUAGAAUUGUGGAGAGGUAAGUGGAAUUCCGAGUGUAGAGGUGAAAUUCGUAGAUAUUCGGAAGAACACCAGUGGCGAAGGCGACUCACUGGCCCGAUACUGACGCUGAGGCGCGAAAGCGUGGGGAGCAAACAGG